rnacentral:rRNA from 1 species
UACGUAGGGGGCAAGCGUUGUCCGGAAUCAUUGGGCGUAAAGCGCACGUAGGCGGCCCGAUAAGUCCGUUGUGAAAGUCAGCGGCUCAACCUCUGGAGGCCAAUGGAUACUGUCGGGCUAGAGUCCGGAAGAGGCGAGUGGAAUUCCCGGUGUAGCGGUGAAAUGCGCAGAUAUCAGGAAGAACACCCGUGGCUAAGGCGGCUCUCUAGUACGGUACUGACGCUGAGACGCGAAAGCGUGGGGAGCGAACAGG